rnacentral:rRNA from 1 species
GAUGAACGCUGGCGGCGUGCCUAAUACAUGCAAGUCGAGCGAACGGACGAGAAGCUUGCUUCUCUGAUGUUAGCGGCGGACGGGUGAGUAACACGUGGAUAACCUACCUAUAAGACUGGGAUAACUUCGGGAAACCGGAGCUAAUACCGGAUAAUAUUUUGAACCGCAUGGUUCAAAAGUGAAAGACGGUCUUGCUGUCACUUAUAGAUGGAUCCGCGCUGCAUUAGCUAGUUGGUAAGGUAACGGCUUACCAAGGCAACGAUGCAUAGCCGACCUGAGAGGGUGAUCGGCCACACUGGAACUGAGACACGGUCCAGACUCCUACGGGAGGCAGCAGUAGGGAAUCUUCCGCAAUGGGCGAAAGCCUGACGGAGCAACGCCGCGUGAGUGAUGAAGGUCUUCGGAUCGUAAAACUCUGUUAUUAGGGAAGAACAUAUGUGUAAGUAACUGUGCACAUCUUGACGGUACCUAAUCAGAAAGCCACGGCUAACUACGUGCCAGCAGCCGCGGUAAUACGUAGGUGGCAAGCGUUAUCCGGAAUUAUUGGGCGUAAAGCGCGCAUAGGCGGUUUUUUAAGUCUGAUGUGAAAGCCCACGGCUCAACCGUGGAGGGUCAUUGGAAACUGGAAAACUUGAGUGCAGAAGAGGAAAGUGGAAUUCCAUGUGUAGCGGUGAAAUGCGCAGAGAUAUGGAGGAACACCAGUGGCGAAGGCGACUUUCUGGUCUGUAACUGACGCUGAUGUGCGAAAGCGUGGGGAUCAAACAGGAUUAGAUACCCUGGUAGUCCACGCCGUAAACGAUGAGUGCUAAGUGUUAGGGGGUUUCCGCCCCUUAGUGCUGCAGCUAACGCAUUAAGCACUCCGCCUGGGGAGUACGACCGCAAGGUUGAAACUCAAAGGAAUUGACGGGGACCCGCACAAGCGGUGGAGCAUGUGGUUUAAUUCGAAGCAACGCGAAGAACCUUACCAAAUCUUGACAUCCUUUGACAACUCUAGAGAUAGAGCCUUCCCCUUCGGGGGGGCAAAGUGACAGGUGGUGCAUGGUUGUCGUCAGCUCGUGUCGUGAGAUGUUGGGUUAAGUCCCGCAACGAGCGCAACCCUUAAGCUUAGUUGCCAUCAUUAAGUUGGGCACUCUAAGUUGACUGCCGGUGACAAACCGGAGGAAGGUGGGGAUGACGUCAAAUCAUCAUGCCCCUUAUGAUUUGGGCUACACACGUGCUACAAUGGACAAUACAAAGGGCAGCGAAACCGCGAGGUCAAGCAAAUCCCAUAAAGUUGUUCUCAGUUCGGAUUGUAGUCUGCAACUCGACUACAUGAAGCUGGAAUCGCUAGUAAUCGUAGAUCAGCAUGCUACGGUGAAUACGUUCCCGGGUCU